UACGGGGGGAGCAAGCGUUGUUCGGAUUUACUGGGCGUAAAGGGCGCGUAGGCGGCCACCGCAAGUCAGUUGUGAAAUCUCUGGGCUUAACCCAGAAAGGUCAACUGAUACUGCGGGGCUAGAGUGCAGAAGGGGCAACUGGAAUUCUUGGUGUAGCGGUGAAAUGCGUAGAUAUCAAGAGGAACACCGGAGGUGAAGACGGGUUGCUGGGCUGACACUGACGCUGAGGCGCGAAAGCUAGGGUAGCAAACGGG
rnacentral:rRNA from 1 species